rnacentral:pre_miRNA from 1 species
UGCCUUCUGUAUCCGUGCUGAGAUAUCGUCACACACCAGACCACAAGGGCUGAUCAGUCAGUCAGCUACAACGUAGGACCAGGCACCAAGGGCUGAUGAGACUACCAAGAUAAGUGAAGCA